UGCCAGACUCCUACGGGAGGCAGCAGUGAGGAAUAUUGGUCAAUGGGCGCGAGCCUGAACCAGCCAAGUCGCGUGAGGGAAGACGGUCCUAUGGAUUGUAAACCUCUUUUGUCGGGGAGCAAAAGACGCCACGCGUGGCGUUCCGAGAGUACCCGAAGAAAAAGCAUCGGCUAACUCCGUGCCAGCAGCCGCGGUAAUACGGAGGGUGCGAGCGUUAAUCGGAAUUACUGGGCGUAAAGCGCUCGUAGGCGGUACGUCAAGUCAAGGGUGAAAUCCCCGCGCUCAACGUGGGAACUGCCUUUGAAACUGGCAAACUGGAGUGUGUGAGAGGAUAGUGGAAUUCCAGGUGUAGGAGUGAAAUCCGUAGAUAUCUGGAGGAACAUCAGUGGCGAAGGCGACUAUCUGACACAUAACUGACGCUGAGGAGCGAAAGCGUGGGUAGCAAACAGGAUUAGAUACCCCCGUAA
rnacentral:rRNA from 1 species